rnacentral:sRNA from 1 species
CUGGCUAGGGAGGAUAAGGCAUACCGCCAUACACAGCAGCUCAGGGUAAGCUGUUGCGCUAACAGGAAACCCAUCUCAAUUCCACAGUUUUGCACUGACGAUCUACAUUAUAUCCAUCAUGCCAAUAGUAACCGCCACCACGAGCAUGGUUUUUGGCCUCAGCUUCCAGUUCCCGCUUUGUCCCGGCUCCCCGUUAGACUCUUGCUGUGAGAUCACCAUUGGCUUUUCACAAAAGUCAUUCAACCCUCUCAAUAACUCGGUUUCUUGGACUGGUGAUAAAAUUGGAUACAGUAAAGUCAGACAGUAAACACUAACACCUGUGCGCAAUAUAAGGACCAUCAAACACCUCAUUUUACCGUAUCCUCGAUAGAAAGCGCAUCAAUCGCGGUCGUCGCUGGGGAUUGUAACACGUAUGGAAUGGUCGGUUUGGAGUUUGUUUAACUCCACGUAUGAGCGCCUACACACCUAUGGGAACAAGAGUAUGAGCUUCGCAAUCUGCAGUAUUUUCGAGGUUUUGUGAGCCGGUAUGAGGCUCCCAGUCCUAAGACUGAUGUGAUGUUGAAGAUUCAUCAAUAACAAAUAUUAGAUGGCCGGGGAUUGCUGUUCAUCAAAAUGAAUAGGCCAGGUUAUAUAUACUCUGGUUAUACUCUGGUUUGUCCCACUCCGUCACAAUGCCCUAACCCGUCAGGAUACUAUAUCGAUAACGUCGCGCAUCUUCCUCACCCAUUAUGGAGUGGGGCAUUGAGAGUAGUCAUUGUUGAUGAGUCUUAAAACCAGAUAAAUGUAACUAUUGCAGGCAUGAAUGUCUUCUGAGAAGGCAGAAAACGUGAAAAAAGAAAAAAAAAAAUUAAGGCUGCCGAUUUUUUGCUUUCCGACAUCGACUAUUUGAAGAUAGUCGUGGCAGCAAUGUCAAGGAAAAGUAAAUACAUGAGAAAUAUUCGCUAUUGGUUGCAGAAUAAACGGGGGCGGAACUGAGAAAGGGAUUGGAGAAUAUAGAGACCAUGAAAUCGAAAGCAAAGCGGAGUUCGUUGUGAAAGAAACACAUACGUAUCUUUCCAGGGGUAAAUUCCUUUGGAGAAAACUAGACAAUGUAAUAUGAAACAUAGAUAUCACGAGACAUGAGAAUGAAAAAAAAAAGGAGAGAG